UGGGGAAUAUUGCACAAUGGGGGAAACCCUGAUGCAGCGACGCCGCGUGAGUGAAGAAGGUCUUCGGAUUGUAAAGCUCUGUUGCCGGGGAAAAAGGAAGGAAAGAGGAAAUGCUUUUCUUUGGAUGGUACCCGGCCAGAAAGUCACGGCUAACUACGUGCC
rnacentral:rRNA from 1 species